UUAAAAUGGAGCAGCAUCCAUUUAAAAAAAGGGAGGAACCGAAAAUCCAAAAGAGUAGGAUCUUA
rfam:Pedobacter luteus strain DSM 22385 genome assembly, contig: LY14DRAFT_scaffold00002.2